rnacentral:rRNA from 1 species
CCGGCGGGAUUAGAGUUUGAUCCUGGCUCAGAUUGAACGCUGGCGGCAGGCUUAACACAUGCAAGUCGAGCGGAAACGAUGAAAAGCUUGCUUUUCAGGCGUCGAGCGGCGGACGGGUGAGUAAUGCUUGGGAAUAUGCCUUAUGGUGGGGGACAACAGUUGGAAACGACUGCUAAUACCGCAUAACGUCUACGGACAAAGGGGGGGAUCUUCGGACCUCUCGCCAUUUGAUUAGCCCAAGUGAGAUUAGCUAGUUGGUGAGGUAAAGGCUCACCAAGGCGACGAUCUCUAGCUGGUUUGAGAGGUUGAUCAGCCACACUGGGACUGAGACACGGCCCAGACUCCUACGGGAGGCAGCAGUGGGGAAUAUUGCACAAUGGGGGAAACCCUGAUGCAGCCAUGCCGCGUGUGUGAAGAAGGCCUUCGGGUUGUAAAGCACUUUCAGUUGUGAGGAAAGGGUAUUGGUUAAUAGCCACUAUCUGUGACGUUAACAACAGAAGAAGCACCGGCUAACUUCGUGCCAGCAGCCGCGGUAAUACGAGGGGUGCAAGCGUUAAUCGGAAUUACUGGGCGUAAAGCGUACGUAGGCGGUUUGUUAAGCAAGAUGUGAAAGCCCAGGGCUCAACCUUGGAACUGCAUUUUGAACUGGCAAACUAGAGUACUGUAGAGGGGGGUAGAAUUUCA